rnacentral:rRNA from 1 species
UACGGGGGGAGCAAGCGUUGUUCGGAUUUACUGGGCGUAAGGGGCGCGUAGGCGGCCAGCACAAGUCAGUUGUGAAAUCUCCGAGCUUAACUCGGAAAGGUCAACUGAUACUGUGCGGCUAGAGUGCGGAAGGGGCAACUGGAAUUCUUGGUGUAGCGGUGAAAUGCGUAGAUAUCAAGAGGAACACCUGCGGCGAAGGCGGGUUGCUGGGCCGACACUGACGCUGAGGCGCGAAAGCCAGGGGAGCGAACGGG